rnacentral:rRNA from 1 species
CAGCCGCCGCGGGAAUACGGAGGGAGCUAGCGUUGUUCGGAAUCACUGGGCGUAAAGGGUGCGUAGGCGGGAUCUUAAGUCAGGGGUGAAAUCCCGAGGCUCAACCUCGGAACUGCCUUUGAUACUGGGGUCCUUGAGUCCGGAAGAGGUGAGUGGAACUGCGAGUGUAGAGGUGAAAUUCGUAGAUAUUGGAAAGAACACCGGUGGCGAAGGCGGCGACCUGGUCUUUAACUGACGCUGAGGCGCGAAAGCGUGGGGAGCAAACAGGAUUAGAUACCCCGGUAGUCCCUGUCUCUUAUAC